UACGUAGGGUCCGAGCGUUGUCCGGAGUUACUGGGCGUAAAGCGCGCGCAGGCGGCGGUGCUGGCCCGGCGUGAAAGCCCCCGUCUCAACCGGGGAGGGUCGUCGGGGACCGCACCGCUUGAGGGCGGUAGGGGCUGGUGGAAUGCCUGGUGUAGUGGUGAAAUGCGUAGAGAUCAGGCGGAACACCUGGGGCGAAGGCGGCCAGCUGGGCCGUCCCUGACGCUGAGGCGCGACAGCGUGGGGAGCAAACAGG
rnacentral:rRNA from 1 species